rnacentral:rRNA from 1 species
GGGCCCGCACAAGCGGUGGAGCAUGUGGUUUAAUUCGAUGAUACGCGAGGAACCUUACCAAGGCUUAAAUGCAGAACGACUAAUCUGGAAACAGGUUUUUCUUCGGACGGUCUGCAAGGUGCUGCAUGGUCGUCGUCAGCUCGUGCCGUGAGGUGUCGGGUUAAGUCCCAUAACGAGCGCAACCCCUAUCCAUUAGUUGCCAUCAGGUAAAGCUGGGGACUCUAAGGAAACUGCCCGCGCAAGCGGUGAGGAAGGUGGGGAUGACGUCAGAUCAUCACGGCCCUUACGUCUUGGGCUACACACGUGCUACAAUGGCAGGUACAAUGGGCAGCUACAUGGUAACAUGAUGCUAAUCUCCAAAACCUGUCUCAGUUCGGAUUGAGGUCUGCAACUCGACCUCAUGAAGCUGGAAUCGCUAGUAAUCGAAUAUCAGCCAUGAUUCGGUGAAUACGUUCCCGGGCCUU